CAUGCGAGUCGAGAGGGUUCGGCCCUCGGCGUACUGCUCAGUAACACGUGGAUAACCUGCCCUAGGGAAGGGGAUAACCCCGGGAAACUGGGGAUAAUACCCUAUAGAUUACAGAUGCUGGAAUGCCCUGUAAUCCAAAGUUCCGACGCCCUAGGAUGGAUCUGCGGCCGAUUAGGUUGUUGUUGGGGUAAUGGCCCAACAAGCCCGUAAUCGGUACGGGUUGUGGGAGCAAGAGCCCGGAGUUGGAUUCUGAGACACGAAUCCAGGCCCUACGGGGCGCAGCAGGCGCGAAAACUUUACAAUGCGGGCAACCGUGAUAAGGGAACCUCGAGUGCCUGUAAAUGCAGGCUGUUCAGGUGCCUAAAACACACCUGAAGAAAGGGCCGGGCAAGACCGGUGCCAGCCGCCGCGGUAAUACCGGCGGCUCGAGUGGUGGCCGCUUUUAUUGGGCUUAAAGCGUUCGUAGCUGGGUUGUUAAGUCUCUUGGGAAAUCUGGCGGCUUAACCGUCAGGCGUCUAAGGGAUACUGGCAAUCUUGGAACCGGGAGAGGUGAGGGGUACUUCGGGGGUAGGAGUGAAAUCCUGUAAUCCUCGAGGGACCACCUGUGGCGAAGGCGCCUCACCAGAACGGCUUCGACAGUGAGGGACGAAAGCUGGGGGAGCAAACCGGAUUAGAUACCCGGGUAGUCCCAGCCGUAAACUAUGCGCGUUAGGUGUAUCGGUGACCACGAGUUACCGAGGUGCCGAAGGGAAACCGUGAAACGUGCCGCCUGGGAAGUACGGUCGCAAGGCUGAAACUUAAAGGAAUUGGCGGGGGAGCA
rnacentral:rRNA from 1 species